GCUAUCAGAGGGAUGAUUCCAAAACAUUGAACAGAGAAAGAUCCAUGCUGGUGCUAGAAGCUUUCAAAGACACGUGAAAACUGAAGCACCAGGAGUUUAAUGUGCCUGAGAUUACACAGUGUUUAAGAAUGGCACAGAGCAUUUGGAUUCUAAGUGAGCGGCUCCCAACAACCCUCGACGGCAUCCUAGGAACCUGGGAAAAGAAAGAUGGCAGCAGCCAAGUCAGCCACAGGCCCUUGCAUGACAGAUAAUUACACAUCUGGCAGAACACCUCCACCUGGCUGAGCAAAGCAAAACCAUCCUGAGA